UACGAAGGGUGCAAGCGUUACUCGGAAUUACUGGGCGUAAAGCGUGUGUAGGCGGAUCGUUAAGUGUCUUGUGAAAUCCCACGGCUCACCCGUGGAACGGCUGGGCAUACUGGCGAUCUUGGGCCAACUAGGGGCAACUGGAACAAGCGGUGGAGCGGUGAAAUGCGUAGAUAUCGCUUGGAACGCCGAAGGUGAAAACAGGUUGCUGGGGUUGUGCCGACGCUGAGACACGAAAGCCAGGGGAGCAAACGGG
rnacentral:rRNA from 1 species